rnacentral:misc_RNA from 1 species
GCAUUACUGCUUUCAUAGAAAGUUACACACUGCCUUCUUCUAACUGGCCAUUUGGUUAACAAAAAAAAGGCUAAAACUGAAUACUGAAUAGGUCAUUUUGAUUCUUAGCUAGGCCUACCUACGAUUGGGUUGGUUGGGCUAAGUGUAUGCUCAAGCUCAGGCCUCAGAGAGUGCAGUGCAAACAUACUUUGUAAUACUAAUGUCUGAGCUCAAGUGCUUAACCCGAUUAAAAUUUUAAACUUGAGGUAAGCUUAGCCCAAAGCUCUAAUGAGUUAGCCUAACUAUCUAUUGAGAAACCAAUUUAUAAAAUAACUUACAGUAUGAAUAUUGUAAGUUAUCCACAUUAACAUAAUCGCCAAAAACAUUACAUAAAAAAAUUAAAUUGAAAUACAUAGUUCUAGUAAUACAUAUACAGUUGCAAUCAAAUGGUAAUAUGGGGUUAAAUGAAUACUACUAUUUUCCCUUGAAGUAGAAGCUUAUUUUACUUUAAGUUACUUGCUAUCGACAAGAAUCAUAUGCCUAUUUAUGUUUAGAAUUGAG